ensembl:snRNA U6 U6 spliceosomal RNA
GUGCUUGCUUUGGCAACAUAUACACUAAAAUUGGAAUGAUACAGGGAAGAUUAGCACAGCCCCUCCACAAGGAUGAUGUGCAAAUUUGCAAAGUGUUCCAUAUUUAA